GGGGAUAUAGCUCAGUGGUAGAGCAUUCAACUGCAGAUCGAGAGGUACAUGGUUCAAACCCGGGUGUCCUCU
rnacentral:tRNA from 1 species